AUUGAACGCUGGCGGCAGGCUUAACACAUGCAAGUCGAGCGGAGAGAGGUAGCUUGCUACCGAUCUUAGCGGCGGACGGGUGAGUAAUGCUUAGGAAUCUGCCUAUUAGUGGGGGACAACAUUUCGAAAGGAAUGCUAAUACCGCAUACGUCCUACGGGAGAAAGCAGCGGAUCUUCGGACCUUGCGCUAAUAGAUGAGCCUAAGUCGGAUUAGCUAGUUGGUGGGGUAAAGGCCUACCAAGGCGACGAUCUGUAGCGGGUCUGAGAGGAUGAUCCGCAACACUGGGGCUGAGACACGGCCCAGACUCCUACGGGAGGCAGCAGUGGGGAAUAUUGGACAAUGGGCGCAAGCCUGAUCCAGCCAUGCCGCGUGUGUGAAGAAGGCCUUAUGGUUGUAAAGCACUUUAAGCGAGGAGGAGGCUACUUUAGUUAAUACCUAGAGAUAGUGGACGUUACUCGCAGAAUAAGCACCGGCUAACUCUGUGCCAGCCGCCGCCGUAAUAC
rnacentral:rRNA from 1 species